GUCAGUUCUCGGGUGACACACCCUGGAAACAGGCUCCCUCCUCUCUGGUUCUGGGUGUGUCACCUGAGAACCGCA
rfam:Myotis lucifugus cont2.12439, whole genome shotgun sequence.